rnacentral:lncRNA from 1 species
AAACUUGUUAUCUCAUUUUAAUAAAAUCAAUGUACCUUUACUGACUUCUUUAGGGUCCUCUUGGAAAGAUAACAUCAGGAAUGCCCACUAAUUGGUUAUCUGCAUUCAUCUUGUCACUCAAUAAAGACAAAUUCCCAGAGAAGUACAAAAAAAAUGAUGAUGGGUCUUCUGAGAAUGCAACGGAGCAAAAAGAAGGAACUGUUUGUCCCUGACUGACUGUUUUCUGCAUGAUAUUGGUCUCCAGAGCUUUUACUCUUGUACUGAGCCAAGAUGAUGCCUCUGACCAUUCACAAAUGAUGCAGGAACAGAUGACUGGAGCUGCUAUGACUACGCCUGCAACAGAACACCAACAAAGCUUUCAAGAGAACAUGGGAAAUUUGGGGGCUGACAGUUUGCCUGUGGCUAUUAGAUGGAAUUGAAGAGGAGUUCAUGGCUAAAGACUGGUGACUCCAGUAGUAAAAAUUAGAAAAUGAGAAAAAACAAACUAUUAUUAAUAUACAAAACAUAGUAAAACUUCAUUCUGUGGAAAAAAAAUGUUGUCAAUUAUGCCAAAUUAUUAUGUUCACUCAGUAUGACUUUUAACCACAGGAAACUCUUGAUUUUGUGGGAUUAAAAAACCCUGCAUUUUACUGCUAAUCUUUUGUUUGUGUUUUUAUACUUUUCUUAACACGAAUAUGCAUUUUCAUUACAAAACAUGUAGCAACUAUGGAGAUGCAAAGUGAAGUUUCCUGUGGUUCAUGUGGAGCCUACAGAGUGACAGAACAAAUGUGUGAAAACCUUAUUCAAAUGAGCUCUUUUCAAAGUAAAUACCCAGAGCCAUAACAAAGUUAGCAAACAUUCUAUACUGCUUAAUAGCCACUAGUGAAAAAUCAGUUAUCUUGAGACCCUGCUGGGUUCUCAAGUGCCUUUGGGAUCAUCCACAGGUUAAAUAAUGUGAAGUCUUGAUCUGAUGUUCAUAAUAUAUAAAAUCUAUUGACAAAUCAUUGGUGCUAUACCGUAUAUGGCUACUCAGUAAAAGAAAAGAGCUCAGUUCCCAGUUAUUCUGUAUGAGACAGAAUUUACACAGAUAAGUAAGAAGGAAGAGAGGGUAAUUGCUGUCAGCACAUAGUUAAGGGUGGUCCUGCAAUAAUUUUAUCUGGAUCAACUGCCCUAAGGAAGAGUCAGGGUGCUAUUUCUGUACCAAGAGGCGAAUGUAAUUUGCAUGUUGAACGCUGCUAACAAGAACAAACAAUUUCAAUUCUACAAAUUAAACCAAGUUGU